rnacentral:rRNA from 1 species
AAAAGCUCGUAGUUGGGAGUCAGGGUGAGCUCAGCUGGUCGGCCUAAUGGGUCAGAACUGGUUGACUCUCCCUUGGUUGUGGAUCCCUCCGGAGUUAAUUCUUCGGGUGUGGAGUCCACAUCGUUUACCUUGAAAAAAUUAGAGUGUUCAAAGCAGGCGUUUGCUUGAAUAUAUUAGCAUGGAAUAAUGGAAUAGGACGCUGGUUCUAUUUUGUUGGUUUUGAGAACCAGAGUAAUGAUUAAUAGGGACAGUUGGGGGCAUUCAUAUUUCAUUGUCAGAGGUGAAAUUCUUGGAUUUAUGAAAGAUGAACUUCUGCGAAAGCAUUUGCCAAGGAUGUUUUCAUUAAUCAAGAACGAAAGUUAGGGGAUCGAAGACGAUCAGAUACCGCCGUAGUCUUAACCAUAAACUAUGCCGACUAGGGAUUGGGCGUGGGUUGUUCAUUGA